rnacentral:rRNA from 1 species
UACGUAGGGUGCAAGCGUUGUCCGGAAUUAUUGGGCGUAAAGAGCUCGUAGGCGGUUCGUCGCGUCGGCUGUGAAAUCCCGAGGCUCAACCUCGGGUCUGCAGUCGAUACGGGCGGACUGGAGUACUGCAGGGGAGACUGGAAUUCCUGGUGUAGCGGUGAAAUGCGCAGAUAUCAGGAGGAACACCGAUGGCGAAGGCAGGUCUCUGGGCAUUAACUGACGCUGAGGAGCGAAAGCAUGGGGAGCGAACAGG